rnacentral:rRNA from 1 species
GAUGAACGCUGGCGGCGUGCCUAAUACAUGCAAGUCGAGCGAACGGACGAGAAGCUUGCUUCUCUGAUGUUAGCGGCGGACAGGUGAGUAACACGUGGAUAACCUACCUAUAAGACUGGGAUAACUUCGGGAAACCGGAGCUAAUACCGGAUGAUAUUUUGAACCGCAUGGUUCAAAAGUGAAAGACGGUCUUGCUGUCACUUAUAGAUGGAUCCGCGCUGCAUUAGCUAGUUGGUAAGGUAACGGCUUACCAAGGCAACGAUGCAUAGCCGACCUGAGAGGGGGAUAGGCCACACUGGAAGUGAGACACGGUCCAGACUCCUACGGGAGGCAGGAGUAGGGAAUCUUACGCAAUGGGCGAAAGCCUGACGGAGCAACGCCGCGUGAGUGAUGAAGGUCUUCGGAUCGUAGAACUCUGUUAUUAGGGAAGAACAUAUGUGUAAGUAACUGUGCACAUCUUGACGGUACCUAAUCAGAAAGCCACGGCUAACUACGUG